UGCAAGUCGAGCGAACUGAUUAGAAGCUUGCUUCUAUGACGUUAGCGGCGGACGGGUGAGUAACACGUGGGCAACCUGCCUGUAAGACUGGGAUAACUUCGGGAAACCGAAGCUAAUACCGGAUAGGAUCUUCUCCUUCAUGGGAGAUGAUUGAAAGAUGGUUUCGGCUAUCACUUACAGAUGGGCCCGCGGUGCAUUAGCUAGUUGGUGAGGUAACGGCUCACCAAGGCAACGAUGCAUAGCCGACCUGAGAGGGUGAUCGGCCACACUGGGACUGAGACACGGCCCAGACUCCUACGGGAGGCAGCAGUAGGGAAUCUUCCGCAAUGGACGAAAGUCUGACGGAGCAACGCCGCGUGAGUGAUGAAGGCUUUCGGGUCGUAAAACUCUGUUGUUAGGGAAGAACAAGUACGAGAGUAACUGCUCGUACCUUGACGGUACCUAACCAGAAAGCCACGGCUAACUACGUGCCAGCAGCCGCGGUAAUACAUAUGUGGCAAGCGUUAUCCAGAAUUAUUGGGCGUAAAGCGCGCGCAGGCGGUUUCUUACGUCUGAUGUGAAAGCCCACGGCUCAACCGUGGAGGGUCAUUGAAAACUGGAGAACUUGAGUGCAGAAAAAAAAAGCAUAAUUCCA
rnacentral:rRNA from 2 species